UGGAUAAGGCAUGCAAGUCAAACGGCCGCAAGGCAGUGGCGAACGAGGUAGUAACACGUGGGUACAUCCCUUUUAGUCAGGAAUAACCAGUCGAAAGAUUGGAUAAUACUUGAUAGUCUCUUCGGAGUAAAGAUUUGUCGCUAAAAGAAUGGCCUGCGGAGUAUCAGCUAGUUGGUAGUGUAAUGGACUACCAAGGCUAUGACGCUUAGGGGAGGUGAGAGCCUGGCCCCCACCGAUGGUACUGAGACACGGACCAUACACCUACGGGUGGCUGCAGCCGAGAAUAUUCGACAAUGGACGAAAGUCUGAUCGAGCGACACCGCGUGAUGGAUGAAGACCUUAGGGUCGUAAACAUC
rnacentral:rRNA from 1 species